rnacentral:rRNA from 1 species
AAUUUUGGACAAUGGGCGCAAGCCUGAUCCAGCCAUGCCGCGUGAGUGAAGAAGGCCCNCGGGUUNUNAAGCUCUUUCGGACGGANAGAAAUCGCGCAGGCUAAUACCCUGCGCGGAUGACGGUACCGUCUUAAGAAUCACUGGCUAACUACGUUCCAUCAGCCGCGUUAAUACGUAGGGUGCGAGCGUUAAUCGGAAUUACUGGGCGUAAAGCGUGAGCAGGCGGUUGAGUAAGACAGGCGUUACAUCCCCGGGCUUAACCUGGGAACUGCGCUUGUGAAUAGUCAGCUAGAGUACGGCAGAGGGGGGUGGAAUUCCACGUGUAGCAGUGAAAUGCGUAGAGAUGUGGAGGAACACCGAUGGCGAAGGCAGCCCCCUGGGCCGAUACUGACGCUCAUGCACGAAAGCGUGGGUAGCAAACAGG